AUACGUACCGUGCGAACGUUAUUCGGAAUCACUGGGCUUAAGGGGUGCGUAGGCGGGCGUGUAAGUGUCUUGUGAAAUCCCACGGCUCAACCGUGGAACUGCGGGGCAAACUGCGCGUCUUGAGGUCGGCAGAGGCUGCCGGAACUCUAGGUGUAGCGGUGAAAUGCGUAGAUAUCUAGAGGAACGCCAAAGGUGAAGACAGGCAGCUGGGCCGAAUCUGACGCUGAGGCACGAAAGCGUGGGUAGCGAACGGGAUUAGAAACCCCGGUAGUCC
rnacentral:rRNA from 1 species